rnacentral:rRNA from 1 species
GUGGGGAAUAUUCCGCAAUGGACGAAAGUCUGACGGAGCAACGCCGCGUGAGUGAUGAAGGUUUUCGGACUGUAAAGCUCUGUUGUUUAGGACGAAAGUGCCUGUUGCAAACAGUUACAGGUAUUGACGGUACUAAACGAGGAAGCCACGGCUAACUACGUGCCAACAGCCGCGGUAAUACGUAGGUGGCAAGCGUUGUCCGGAAUUAUUGGGCGUAAAGAGCAUGUAGGCGGGAAUCUAAGUCUGUUGUGAAAAUGCGGGGCUCAACCCCGUAUUGCGAUGGAAACUGGGUUUCUUGAGUGCAGGAGAGGAAAGGGGAAUUCCCAGUGUAGCGGUGAAAUACGUAGAUAUUGGGAGGAACACCAGUGGCGAAGGCGCCUUUCUGGACUGUGUCUGACGCUGAGAUGCGAAAGCCAGGGUAGCGAACGGGAUUAGAUACCCUUGUAGUCC